GGAGAGUGAUGGGUGCCUGGUGGCCUCCGCGGUCUUCAAAACCGUUGUGGGCGUUUAACGCGUCCAGGUUGGUUCGAUUCCUUCCCUCUCCG
rnacentral:tRNA from 1 species